rnacentral:ncRNA from 1 species
AUUUUGUAUUAGAGAGAAGGUUAACGUUACCCUUGACAAGGGUCGAAAAGGCCAUUGGGCCUAACAAUGUACAGUUUAGACAUUGACACCUACAUUACAGCAUCUAAACAGUGUUUUUA